rnacentral:misc_RNA from 1 species
GAUGAAGAACGCAGCGAAAUGCGAUAAGUAAUGUGAAUUGCAGAAUUCAGUGAAUCAUCGUAUCUUUGAACGCACAUUGCGCCCGUCAGUAUUCUGGCGGGCAUGCCUGUUCGAGCGUCAUUACGCCCCUCAAGUCCCCUGUGGACUUGGUGUUGGGGAUCGGCGAGGCUGGUUUUCCAGCACAGCCGUCCCUUAAAUUAAUUGGCGGUCUCGCCGUGGCCCUCCUCUGCGCAGUAGUAAAACACUCGCAACAGGAGCCCGGCGCGGUCCACUGCCGUAAAACCCCCCAACUUUUUAUAGUUGACCUCGAAUCAGGUAGGACUACCCGCUGAACUUAAGCAUAUCAAUAAGCGGAGGA